CCAAAAGGGGCGGUUUGUGCAUUCUUGCACCAUUUCUCUUCAUUUUUCUUGGGGCAAAGCUCAAUGGAGAGCUAGGAUAGGCUGAGCAUCAAGGAUCUUAAAGUUAGACUUGAAGAUUUGGCAAGGAUUAGCGAGAACACAUCAACUUUUGAGGGAAUUUCUGGGCAAGCUUUGAGGAAGAGCAAGCUAAGGAGGUCUAGGAAAUGAAUCAAGGUCGAAAUUGCAUCAACGGUGUGCGCUAAGGCUCGAGUGGGAUCGUGCUCAAGGAGUCAAGUGAUGAAAGCUAUCAAAUUGACAGGUAAGGGCAAAGAUUGAGUCAACCAGCCAUGAGUACGGAGAGCAUGAAGCGACGCGUACAUGUUUGGCGUGCCCGGCUGCUUUGGUUGGGGGUAUUUUCGAGAAAUGGCUGUAAUAACCUGUGAUUUUAAUAGCGGACCAACUGUAAUCUUAUUUUAAGUUGUAAAUAGUUUUCA